UNUGCACUGUGCCUUGGGAACAUGGG
rnacentral:piRNA from 1 species